GGAUUAGAUACCCUGGUAGUCCACGCCGUAAACGAUGUCUACUAGUCGUCGGGGAUCUUGCAUUCCUGGUGACGCAGCUAACGCGAUAAGUAGACCGCCUGGGGAGUACGGCCGCAAGGUUAAAACUCAAAUGAAUUGGCGGGGGCCCGCACAAGCGGUGGAGCAUGUGGUUUAAUUCGAAGCAACGCGAAGAACCUUACCUACACUUGACAUCCAGAGAACUUGCUAGAGAUAGCUUGGUGCCUUCGGGAGCUCUGAGACAGGUGCUGCAUGGCUGUCGUCAGCUCAUGUCG
rnacentral:rRNA from 1 species